ACAAGUCGUAACAAGGUUUCCGUAGGUGAACUGCGGAAGGAUCAGUCGUGUAUUGGAUUUGGAGGUUGAUGCGGUUAUCCAUUGCUGCUCCCUCCGCUUUCAUGAUCAAUCACCGUGCCAGUCACGUAAAGCGGUGAGAGUGUCAUCCUCCACCAUCAUGUGUUGUUCUUUUGGACACACUUUUUGGAGAAUGAAGCAGCAAUGCUGACUCCACAUAUAAAGGUUGAAGUCGGAUUGUGCUACCUCCCAGUGGUAACCUUUGGAAAUGGCCGUUGUCAUGAUGGUGUCAGCCAAAGCACAAACGCAGUUCAAAUGGCAUUAUUGUUACAACUGUUGAACACACUAUUGACAUAUAUAACAUGAACACGCUGGAUCCCUUGGCAUGCUAGACGAUGAAGAACGUAGCGAGCUGCGAAAUGUGAUGUGAAUUGCAAAUCCAAAGCGAUCUCGUGAAUCAUCAAAUCUUUGAACGCACUGCACCGCCCUUCACGGGAGUGGUACGCCCGAAUGAGCGUCAUAUGACUCUUCAGGCUGGUAUUCUCAACCAUUGGAUUGGUGGACAUUGUGUUACUGCAAACUGUCUUCAAGGAGGUAGCAGAGGUAGCACUUUGUGAGGAUGCCUUGCACUGGUUACGAGAUGCACGGUGAUAGCACUACUGCUGUUGCCAUGUGUCUUUAGAUGCAUUAGCGGAACUGGCACUACUUUACGUCUGCACCGCAGUGUGAUAUGUCUGAUCACUGCUGGGAGUGAAGCAUUCCAGCUGCUUCUAACCUGCCUCUGGGCAAACCCCACUGUUCUCAGUGACACAUGACAAUUGGCCUCACUCGGGUGUGAUGACCCGCUUGAUUUAAGCAUAUUAUUCAGCGGAGGAAAAGAAACU
rnacentral:rRNA from 1 species